rnacentral:rRNA from 1 species
AGAGUUUGAUCCUGGCUCAGGAUGAACGCUAGCUACAGGCUUAACACAUGCAAGUCGAGGGGAAACGACAUCGAAAGCUUGCUUUUGAUGGGCGUCGACCGGCGCACGGGUGAGUAACGCGUAUCCAACCUGCCCAUCACUUGGGAAUAACCUUGCGAAAGUAAGACUAAUACCCAAUGAUAUCCCACGAAGGCAUCUGAAUGGGAUUAAAGAUUUAUCGGUGAUGGAUGGGGAUGCGUCUGAUUAGCUUGUUGGCGGGGUAACGGCCCACCAAGGCAACGAUCAGUAGGGGUUCUGAGAGGAAGGUCCCCCACAUUGGAACUGAGACACGGUCCAAACUCCUACGGGAGGCAGCAGUGAGGAAUAUUGGUCAAUGGGCGAGAGCCUGAACCAGCCAAGUAGCGUGCAGGAAGACGGCCCUAUGGGUUGUAAACUGCUUUUAUAAGGGAAUAAAGUGAGUCUCGUGAGACUUUUUGCAUGUACCUUAUGAAUAAGGACCGGCUAAUUCCGUGCCAGCAGCCGCGGUAAUACGGAAGGUCCGGGCGUUAUCCGGAUUUAUUGGGUUUAAAGGGAGCGUAGGCCGGAGAUUAAGCGUGUUGUGAAAUGUAGAGGCUCAACCUCUGCACUGCAGCGCGAACUGGUCUUCUUGAGUACGCACAACGUGGGCGGAAUUCGUGGUGUAGCGGUGAAAUGCUUAGAUAUCACGAAGAACUCCGAUUGCGAAGGCAGCUCACGGGAGCGCAACUGACGCUGAAGCUCGAAAGUGCGGGUAUCGAACAGGAUUAGAUACCCUGGUAGUCCGCACGGUAAACGAUGGAUGCCCGCUGUUGGCCUGAAUAGGUCAGCGGCCAAGCGAAAGCAUUAAGCAUCCCACCUGGGGAGUACGCCGGCAACGGUGAAACUCAAAGGAAUUGACGG